rnacentral:sRNA from 1 species
UGUCUCCUGCGGUGUUCGACGGCUCCGUCCAAACCCCUUGAGCCUAAUUGCAAAACCCCGGGAGCCUUACCUGGUUCUGGCGUGCAGGCCCACCUUGCAGUGGGAAGCCCAAAGGCCG